GGUGACCACAAUUCCUGUGGCUGUCCUGGGAUGGGGGAAGGAAAUGCCCCAGUAAUCCUCUUUCUUACUUCCUUGAUGCAACUCUUGAGACUGCUCUUCUUGGGGAUAAUUCACAUGGCAUGAUUUGAAAAUGCUUGAGCUAGACUGAUUCUCUGGGAUCUCAUAUUCCAGGAGGCAGUUUCUCUCUGAAGAGGCCAUUGCUGUCUGGAAUAGCAACUCAGUUUCCCAAGAAAUCAACCACUCAGUGUGACUGGGGAAGAGAAAGCAGCCACCAACAAGGUCUGUUUGCAGGGGCUUGAAGGAAUGAUUAUAAAUCCCUGCUUCAUCACAUGCUCCAUUGUUUGGAAAGUGGCUGGAAGCUCAAGUCUCCGUCCACUGGCAGUGCCAACAGCGUGUCUGGAAGAAAGAGUAGGAACUCAGGAGGGAGACAGACCUGGGCUGCUCUAAUCUCAGCUCUUACUAGCUGUGUGACUGAGGGCAGGCUGCUUGAUUUCUCUGAGCCUCCAGCCUUCAUCUGUUAAGUCGAGGUUAAUAGUGCCCCCAUCAUGAAGUCAUUGUGAGGAUUAAAUGAAAUAAUAAAUGUCAUAGAUCAUAAUAAGUACCUCAGUUAGCACUCCCCUAAAAGUGACAUAAUCACACUUUUCAGAAUGAGAAUCUCAGAGAAGGUCGCCAGACAUCAGAAAUGGAGGGGAUCCUUCCUUCUUUGGUGCACCCAUUCAACAGCAGCCUCGUGCCUGUGGACUCUUGCGAGAAAGACAAGAGCUGGCUCUGCCUCCCCUCCUGUGCCUCUUGCUGCCACACUUUUAAUUUUACCCACAUCAUGCCACUUCAUGCUUCUGUGCCUUUGCUCCUGCAGCCCCGUCAGCCUGGAGUGCUGUCCCCGACCUCACUCCACCUGGCAGAUGCCUACUUAUACUCAAGACAAAGCCGGGCAAAAAUAUAUAUUAUUUAAUCUGGCACAUCUGGCUCUUUGUCUGAAAUAGAGUCAGGGUGGACUCCUAUCUUAUCAUAUACAAACAUAAAAUUCCAGCUGAAUUAAGGGCUUAAAAUGUAAAGAAGAAAAUAUUAAAAAUCUGGCAGGACAAACCACAGUACAACCCUAGCAUAUACCCACCUAAUGAAAAAGUCAGAUGAUAACCAAGUUCUGGGGUGGAUAUAGAGCAACUAAGCCAUCUCUUACAUUACUGGUGAGGGUGUAAUUGGAAUCACCACUUUGGAAAACUGGCCAUACCUACAAAAGCUGAAUGUACACCUCUCCCGUGAUCCAGAAAUGACACUCUUGGGUAAAUAUACAACAGAAAUGCAAACAUAAAUUCACCAAAAUUAUGUACAAGAGUGUUCAUAGCAGCACUAUUUGUAAAAGACCCAAAUUGGAAGCAACCCAACAAUAAGACAGAUAAACAAAGUGUGGUAUACUUAUGUAAGGAAUACUGCACAGCAAUGAGAAUGAGCGGACUGCAUGAAUGAAUCUCGCAAACACAUUGCUGAGUUAAAGAAGCUAGGCACAAAAGAGUACAUAUGGAUGAUUCGUUUAAAUAAACUUUCGACACUAACUUAUGGUGUUCGAAGUCAAGGUAGAGGUUAAUCUUUGGGGAGGGUAAUGACUGAAAGGAGACACGAAAGAGCUUCUAGGGUGCUGGGAAUGUUCUGUUUCUUGAGCUGGGUCCCAGUUACAUGAGUGUUUUCACUUGUGAAAAUUUAUGGAUCCACAAAAAUAAGUGCAGUAUUUCAUAUGUAUGUUAUACUUCAAUAAAAAUUUGGCAAGGAGGCCUCAUAUAAACUAGGGGUUCGAAGACCUUCCCAACCAAAGUUGGAAAUCUAGGAGAUCAAAAAGAUAGACAUUUUUGCACAUAGAUAUUUUAAAAGCACGUUUAUGGCAAAAGAUACUGUAAGCAAUGUCAAGAACAAACAGUAGAUUUGGAAAAAAUAUGUGUAAUGCAGCUGAUAGUCAAAGCUGUAAUAUGUAAAGAGCUUUUACCCAUUGAUAAGACAAUCCAAUGGAGAAAUAAAUAAAAUGAUACUAAUGCAAGUCAGAGAAGAAAAUUAUCCAACUAUAUGGAAAGAUGCUUAAAUUCAUUAGAAUUCUGGGUAAUGUAAAUUAAAGUAGUAAUAAGAUACCAGUUUGCACCUUUCAG